GUUGAUCUGAGGAGAGAAGCCGAGACAAGCGAUGAGGAAAAGUCCUGAGAGUGGCAGGCGCCUUCCCCGCGGAGGGGUGGCGUCCGUGCCCGGCCUCCCAACACACCCAGACGGGCAGGGAGAGGCUGGGGGCCCCCGGCACCUGCGGCCAGUGCACCUGUGCUUCCCGAGCGUGGCCCCGUCCCAGCUGCGCAGGAAGUUAGGUCACACACCCUCAGCUGCUCCCCGGGGGAGGGGAAGGGCUGUGUCACCCAGGAUUCUACCCAGGCCGCGGGUGGGCCGGCUCGUGCGGAAGGCAGGCCACCUCCCUGUCACGGGCCUGGCUCCUGUGAAAAGGGGGCGCCCGGGCACGGCGACCGGGAACCUGGGCCCACAUCACUUUAACUCUCCUUGCCGAGAAGGGGCCAGUACAGUUGCAGACGUCGAUUUAUGUAGAACUUGGUGGCAUUUUUCUUGGUUGCAUCACCCUGUAUCACUGCGCGGGAGCCAAAUAUGGUAAAAUACUCAGGUCAUAACCUCGAGGCUUGUGAGUUCGAGGCCAGCAUGGGGCCCUGCACGCAGCGCGGAGCCUGCUUGGGAGUCUCUCGCCGCCCUUCCCCCGCCACUUGCAGUGUCUCUGUCUCUCUCAAGAUAAAUAAACUUAAAAAUAAAUAAAUAAACGAACAAAUAA